UGGCAUAACAAAAAAGCGGAGGAAAAGAAACUAACAAGGAUUCCCCUAGUAACUGCGAGUGAAGCGGGAAAAGCUCAAAUUUAAAAUCUGGUGGUCUUUGGCCAUCCGAGUUGUAAUCUAGAGAAGUGUUAUCCGCGCUGGACCGUGUACAAGUCCCCUGGAAUGGGGCGUCAUAGAGGGUGAGAAUCCCGUCUUUGACACGGACUACCAGGGCUUUGUGAUGCACUCUCAAAGAGUCGAGUUGUUUGGGAAUGCAGCUCAAAAUGGGUGGUAAAUUCCAUCUAAAGCUAAAUAUUGGCGAGAGACCGAUAGCGAACAAGUACCGUGAGGGAAAGAUGAAAAGAACUUUGGAAAGAGAGUUAAACAGUACGUGAAAUUGUUGAAAGGGAAACGCUUGAAGUCAGUCGCGUCUGCCAGGGAUCAACCUUACUUUUGUGAGGCGUACUUCCUGGUUGAUGGGUCAGCAUCAGUUUUGGUCGCUGGAUAAAGGUCAGAGAAAUGUGGCACCUUCGGGUGUGUUAUAGUCUUUGAUCAGAUACAGUGGCUGGGACUGAGGAACUCAGCGCCGCAAGGCUGUCUUAGGAUGCUGGCAAAAUGGCUUUAAUCGACCCGUCUUGAAACACGGCC
rnacentral:rRNA from 1 species